rnacentral:rRNA from 1 species
AUUGAACGCUGGCGGCAGGCCUAACACAUGCAAGUCGAACGAGUGGCGGACGGGUGAGUAAUGUCUGGGAAACUGCCUGAUUGAGGGGGCUAACUACUGGAAACGUUAGCUAAUACCGCAUACCAUCAGAUGUGCCCAGAUGGGAUUAGCUUGUUGUUGGGGUAACGGCUCACCAGGGCGACGCUCCCUAGCUGGUCUGAGAGGAUGACCAGCAACACGGGAACUGAGACACGGUCCAGACUCGAACGGGAGGCAGCAGGGGGGAAUAUGGGACAAUGGGCGCAAGCCUGAGGCAGCCAUGCCGAGUGUAUGAAGAAGGCCGUGGGGGUGUAAAGGAAUUUCAGCGGGGAGGCGUUACCAGCAGAAGAAGCACCGGCUAACGCCGUGCCAGCAGCCGCGGUAAUUC